UGUGCAUGGGGGAUGCAGGGUGCAAAUUCCAUAUAACACCCUGCAUAUGGGACGCAUAUUAGGACAAUGUCAAGGGAAAUCUCCUGUAUGCAAUUUCCUAUGCUAGAGGAAUGCAAUGACGCCUGCUUUUCCACUCAACCCUCCUCAAAGCAGACGUCACACCUCGCUCCUCCCUUCUCAGCUGUCCUGCUCCUCACUCCUCAGCCAUCCGACCUGGGUCCUCGACCUGAAUAUGCGCACCCCGAGGAGUGAGGAGCAAGAGCUGACGACUGAGGAGCUAGGACCCAGGACGGAUGGCUGAGGAGGGAGGAGGAAGAGCUGACGGCUGAGGAGGGAGGAGCGAGGUGUGACAUAUGCCUCAGAGGAUGGCUGAGUAAAAAAGCAUGCAAUGUCACAUUCCUCUUGCUUAGGAUAGCGCCACAACGAUUUCCCCUGAGGAUGUCCUAAAAUGCUUUCCGUACAAUCAGUACCGGUCUCCCACACUCCAGCAGCACAUACCUAAGGGGCUCCUCAGAGGUGCAGCCUCAGUACCAGCCUCUCUCACACUCACUCAGGGAUAACGCAGCAUUGCCCCCCCCCCAUGAGACCGCACUCACUCAGAAGCAGCUACUGCCUGUCAGCAUACACUCAAUACCUGCCCCUCAAUCACCCGCUGCUGCUGCUGCAACACUCACUCAGAAACUCGUUCCUUUACCCUAAAUUCGCACUCAUGACAGGGCACCAACAACACCCGAAUCUAAUCAUCCCGCCGUGACUUUUGCUUAUUUCCUACUUGGUCACUUAUAUGGUCACGCCCACCGCGGGGCCUGCUGGGAGUUGUAGUCUGGGGGACGGGUUCCCGCUAGAUCGCCGCCCUUUUCCGUCAUGUGGUCGGGAGGGGCGGGGUUUAGCUGUCACUAGUGAGGCCGAAGGUCUGAGUUGCUUAUUCCAGCCGGACAGACAAGAGAAUGAACCCAGACUUAAGCAGGGAGAGGGCCGCCGCCUCCUUCAAUCCCGAGACCAUCACCUACAUCCUGGAUGGCAGCCCCGAGAGGACCCACAGGAGGAGAGAAAUUGAGGGCCUGGUUCUCAAUGACCCCAGCUUCCAGCAUGAAGACCCCAACUUUCUGUCACGCAGUGAGCGGUACGAAGUGGCCAUCAAGAAGAGUGCCCUGAUGGUUCAGAAGAUGAGGGAACAUGGCAUCUCCGACCCAGAGGAGAUCUACUGGUUCAAAAGGGCCAAAGCAUCUUUGAACCUGGAAAAUCAGAUUAAGAAGACUGAUGAAAUGAUAAGCGGAUUUGAGAAUUCCUUGGUGCAGGAUGGCGUGAUCCUAUACUCCCCAAAUGCACUACAAGAGCGGGCUUCUGAAAUUCAGAAAAUGAAGAGAGACCUUGUAGACAAACAAGACAAUCUUUUGAAGCUAAACAGGAGCCUGAAGGACACCGAGCUGGCAUGCAGCUCUCUACAGACUAACUGCCAGGAACAUUCGCCUGACCUGCCACGCCAACGCACGCAAGUUCAACAUCUCAAUGACCGCUACCAUGCUGUUGCUGACCAGCUUGACCAGAGAGAGAAGGUACUGAGAGACACCAACCUGCCUUACCAACAGUAUAAAUCUUCCUAUAAGGCUCUGGACACCUGGCUGAAAGGUCUUCCUAAAAACCAAGUCACAUCAUCAGAUAGCCCCAGCCAAGUCAACUACAAGCUGCAGUCUCAGAAGAGGCUGUUGGAUGAGAUCCAGAGGAAAGAACCAGAGAAGAAUAAUGUGGUUAAACUUUCAGAUGACCUAGUGAAUGCUUUUGAUGACUAUGAAAAACAAGCCAGCCGGUACAGUACGACCCUUUCCUCCACCAACCCUGUCCCUCCUAAAAAACCAAAGGGUGUAUCUAUGCAGCAAGGAAUAGAAGAACAGCAAAAAGAUCUAGUGACGCGAUACAGCCAGGCUGCUGUGGAGAGUAAGCAGCAGCUUACUCAGAUGGAGUUUGCCAAGAAAGUUUUGGAUAAGUCUGAUGGUACAGAUGGAAUCCAGGCUAUAACUCAGCAAAACCUGCGCUCAGAAAAUACUCUGAGGUCUGUCAGAGAGUCAGAGAAUCUGUCCAACCAGCUACAGGAAGAAAAGAAGAAGGUGGCUCAAGUACAGCAGACAUUGGAGGAGAACACAAAACGUUUGAUAUUACUGAAGACACAAAGACCAGUGGAGCGCAUAGAGGAAAUAGAGGUGGUACAGUAUUACAGGGAGCCUAAGGUAGAGAGUGAUCUGUCAGCAAGGAAAAGCCAAGUAGAACAGACUAACAAGGAAAGAGAGAUCACUCAGUCUGAGAUAAACAUGGUAAGAAAACGACUGGCAACUUUGGAGGAUCAAAGGAAGAACAUUAAGCCACAGUUGCUGACUAAAGAGGUCACACAGAUAGAAAAAGAUCGUGAUUUGGAGUCAAAUGCUCAGUCUCUCACAAAGGAAAUAAAGCAACUGAAAGAAGAAAAUAAUUCAAUUUCUUUGGAAUUAGAGAGACUAAAGAAAGAAGUGCUGAUUCUGGAUCAGAAACAACCAAAUAUAAUAGAGAAAGUAGUGUUGAAAGAGGUGGUAAAGUUAGAGAGGGAUCCAGAAAUGGCAAAGGCUGCCAUGUCACUUCAGCUACAGAUUGAUGAUGAGAAUUUCAGAAGAAAAUCACUUCAGGAGAACGUGGUGAAGCUGAGGACCCGAGCCGAGGAGCUGGAAAAGCUGAUUAAGUCUGUUGAGCCCAAGGUUAUAGUUAAGGAGGUAAAGAAGGUUGAACAGGAUCCAGAAAUCCUGAAGGAAGCAGCAAGGCUAAGGACAUUAAUUGAAGAAGAAAGAAACAAAAGUAAGGUUGUUACACGAGAGCUGACAGAGCUACAAUCUUAGUACAUGGUGGUAGAGAAGCAGAAGCCCAAAAUUGAAAUCAAAGAAAGAGUCAAUGAAGUCUUUAUCGUAGAACCAGAAACUAAGAAGGAGAUUGCAAGGCUGAAGUCUGUGCUGCAAGAACUCGGUUCUAGAAAAUCCAUGUCUGAUAAGGAGUUUGAUACAGUCCAUUCUCAGGUGCUUACGCUGAAAUCCCAGAAACCCAUAGUGGAGUAUAAAGAAAUUGUCAACGAGGUGGUCAAACUAGAGAAAAGUCCAGAGUUGCUAAAGGAAAUAGAAAAAUUUAAGGUACAAAUGAAGGAUAUGGAAGCAACUAACGUCAAGAACCUGGAGCUGAAAUCCAAACUCACUAAAGGGAGAGAUGACUGGAAACUGGAGAGGUCAAAAGUGGAAACUAAAACAGUCAAUAAAGAGGUAGUCAAGUAUGAAAAUGAUCCAGUACUAAUAAAGGAAGCAGAACGUCUUCGUCAAGAAGUACGAGAUGAGCCUCAGAAAAGGAGGGAAGUGGAGAAUAUUGUGUAUGACUUACAGAGCAAGUACAUUCUGCUUGAAAGAAGAAAGCCAGAGGAGAGGGUUGUAGUGCAAGAGGUGGUCCUUGUUAAGCAAGACCCCAAAAUAAAAGAUGAUCAUUUCAGGCUAAGCAGGGCACUUGAUGAUGCAGUAAGCAACAGGCGGCGUCUGGAACGUGAGGUGCAGCAGUUACGUACCUUAGUGGAAGAGCAGCAGAAACUGCUUAACUUUCAAGAAGAAAGAGACAAGAAGUUGGCGGCAGAAAAAGAGCUGCGUCAGAUUACGCUGAGGAUCAAGGAGAUAAAGGAAAGCCCUGCUCCUGUGCAGGAGAAGAUUGUUAUGGAGGAAGUUGUUAAGGUAGAAAGGGACCCUGUUAUGGAAAAAGCAGCUAAUUCUCUUCGCAGUGAAUUAGAUAAUGAAAGAAGCCAAUAUCUAAACAUAGAAAGAGAAUGUAAAAACCUGCAAAUGAAGAUAGAUAUUUUACAGAGGGAGAAAUCUGUGGAGAAAACCAUUUACAAGGAAGUUAUUCGAGUUGAAAAGGACAAGGUGCUUGAGAACGAGAGAGUCAGGUUGAGAGAACUGUUUUUAAAAGCACGUAAUGCAAGGCAAGACUUGGAAGAUGAGAGCAAAAGACUCACAGAAAAGAUAGAAAGGGUUGAUGCAAUGAAGAAUACCUGGUCAAAGGAGGAAGCCGAUCUUAAGAAAACAAAACUUCAGCUACAACAAGAAAAGUCAACCAAAGAAAAUGAACUACUGGAGCUGAGGAGACAACAGCAGCAAAAAAGUGUGUUCCUCAGCAAGGAGUCUCAAUUGCUGUCACAGAAAGCAGAGAUUGAACGUCAGAAAAAGAUGCAAUUGGGUCAUGAGCUGGCCCUUUUUGAAACCAAAAUUCUUUCUGAAAAAGAUGCCAUUUAUGAGAAGGAAAGAAAUAUUAGGGAGCUGCAGUCUCGUGUCAAUCGAGAAGAACGCAACCAAGAGACACAAAUGAGGGAGACAAAUGUUUCCACAAAAAUUUCUAUCCUGGACCCCGAUACGGGUAAAGAAAUGUCUCCCUAUGAAGCUUAUAAAAGGGGCAUCAUAGAUAGGAGUCAAUAUAUCCAACUGCAAGAAUUAGAGUGUGACUGGGAAGAGAUUUCCACCAUGGGUUCCAGUGGUGAAAUUUCUGUCCUUUUGGAUAAGAAGAGUGGCAAACAAUAUUCCAUUGAGGAUGCCCUAAGGACCAAGAAAGUCACCAAAGAAGAAUUACAGAUGUACCGUGAUGGCAAGCUCCCUAUUUCUGAAUUUGCCCUUCUGGUGGCUGGAGAAAAGCCCCCAUCGCUCUCAAUUGGUUCAAUAAUUGGACCCAAAUCCCCAACGUCUACUCAGUCUCGCAGCUUAUUCACACAGAGUGCUCCCAAAAUGUUUCACGAUGACACCUUCCCAAUUGCUGGCAUAUAUGACAAAAGCACAGACAGCAAAUGCACAAUCAGAAGUGCGUUAACAAGGAAAAUACUAGAUGCUGAAACUGGUCAGAAGAUGCUUGAAGCCCAGGCAGCCACUGGUGGUAUCAUUCACAUUAUGAGCAAAGAGAGAUAUUCAGUUCAUAAAGCUAUAGAGAGGGGCCUGAUCGAUAGCAAUAACACACAGAGUCUGCUCCAUGCACAGAAAGCCUUCACAGGUGUAGAGGAUCCGGUUAGCAAAAAGCGAUUAUCUCUUGGAGAAGCUGUUCAGAAGAACCUAAUGCCUAAAGAGAAAGCUUUACCAUACUUGAUUGUCCAGCAUCUCACAGGAGGUCUCAUCGACACAAAACAAACAGGCCGAAUCCCAGUUUCUGAGGCAGUAGAACAGGGUCUGGUGAGUAAAGAACUGGCUGAUCAAAUUCAGGAUGAGGCACAUUAUAAGAAGGAUCUUGUUGACCCUAUCACCAAGGAGAAAAUAGAUUAUAAAGAAGCCAUUUCUCGAUGCCGGAAAGACCUUGGCAGUGGACUGCUACUUCUUGAAGCAUCCCCAGAUGCUUACCAACCUCCUGUCUAUCGCCCAGUAAACCCCAUCCCUUCCCUGACAACCUAUAAUUACUAGGCAUAAGGGUUUUCUAUCUAUUUUAUCAGUUUAAAUGUAUUCACAUGAAAAUAUGGUGUCCUGUUUUAUAAUAAUGUUCUUAACUUUUGCAUUAAUACUGUAUGCAUGUCUGUCUGUCUUCUACAACAAUAAACGUGAAACAAGC